AAAAGCUUUUGUAAUAAUUGUAGUUUAAAUGUUUAGGACUUAGAUUUGUAGUAGGUUUUGAUUCUUGUACCUUCAUACUUUAUAUUUGUUGUUCAAAAUCAUAAACGCACGGUUUUAAUCAAUUAAAUCAAGUAUUAAUCGAUUAAUACCUUUUUUAAUCGAUUAGUUAAUCGAGAGAAUAAUCGAUUAAAACUAGCCGUUGGAGUUUUCUAGUUUUUGAAAACUAGCCGCUGUACUCAUUUUAAUCGAUUAACAUUAAUAUUAAUCGAUUAAAUGCGUUAAAUGGCCAGUUACGAAGAAUGGAAGAGUUUUUGCUUGAGUCUAUAAAUAGGCUCUCUUUAUCCAUCAACAACAAGGGAGCACUUAAAAGCUGACUGCCCAAAUCAAAAGAAGCAUGAAGAAAUAAAAGAAAAUAAAUUCUUCAAGAAAAAGAAAGCCUACAUCGCAUGGGACGAUGACAAUGAAACAAUUUUUGAUUUGAGCGAAUCUGAUGAAGAGGCAAACAUUUGUUUAGUGGCAGAAGACGACGCUCGAAGCCAAGUAAGUUCAUCUAGCGAUUCUGAUAAUUAUAGUCAAUUUAGUGAAAGUGAAUUGCAUGAAACUUGUGCUGCUUUAAUAGUUGAAUCAGAAAAUUAGAUAAAGCUCAUAAGAAAUUGAAAAAGGAUUUCAAAAAUUUAAAAUUAAAUUUUGAAAAUAUUUCAGAAGAAAAUAAAAAUUUAAAAUUAGAUUUUGAAAAUAUUUAUGAGGAAAAUAAAAAUUUAAAAUCAAAUUUUGAAAAUAUUAUUGAAGAGAAUAAAAAUUUGAAAAAAAAAAUUUUAUUUUUUGAAAAAGGUAAAUAUAUUAGUAGUGAUGAAUGUGCUUCUUGUGAAAAUUUUAAGAAACUCCUAAACAACACAACCUUAGAAGAAUGCAGUAAAAAUAAUGAAAAUAAGGUUGUUAAAAAUAAGUAUGUUCCUAAAAUUAAAAAUAAGCAUAAUAAUAUAAUCCAUAGAACAUGGGUAGAAAAAGGAACAGCUUAUAGGAACACAAAUUUUAUAUCAUGUUUUUAUUGUAUGAAAAAGGGUCAUACUUCAAAUAAAUGUAAAAUUAAGCAUUUCGGUGUUCCAAGUGUUAGAUAUAUUUGGGUUGUAAAAUGAUUUCAUUCCAAGAAUUUUAAAAUAUAAAAUUUACAAUUUAAAUUUUUUUAUUUUAAUUUUUUUUAAACAAUUUUAGAAAAUUUCUUAUUCCAAGCAUGUUGUCUUUGAUAAAAUUGUGGACCUUGAGACAAAACCUCUUGAGUCAGUUAAAUUAGAUGCAGGUAAUGAUGAAGACUUGCAGAAGACAACAAAAGAAGAGAAAAAUUAUGACAAUCCUUAAGAUCUCAACAAUUUAUCUUUACGAAUUUGGAGACAUAUCUAAAGGGGUAAACUUUACAAGAGAUCUAGGAAUUUUAUAAAUCUCUUAGGAUUGCAUUUUUGGUCCAUUUUGUGCAUUCUUGUGUAUUUUUUUUUCUAAAAAAAAACUAACCAUAUUUUUUUGUGUGUUUUAAAAUUCCUAUCUUGUAUGGUUCAAUGUAUGAUUUUUAAAGUUCUUUAUCCUAAAAUUAAAUGUUUUAAAUCUCCUAUUGUGUAUGUUUGAAUAAAUCCUUAAUUUUGGAAUAUAUUUAGCUCAUAUGCAUACAUGCUUUUACUAAGGGGGAGUAUUAUCUUAGGGGGACAACAUGAAACACAACUUUUUAAUUAUGAUAAAAAAGGGGGAGAAAAGGUUUAAAGCUUAUUAUUAUUCUCUAAUGCUUUUUUCCUCUAUAAGUUGUGUUUUUACUCAGAUUAUUACUAAAAGCUUUAAUUUAGAGGAGGUUUUGAUCAUCAUAAAAAAGGGGGAGAAUGUUAGCAAAAUGAUGAAGAUGAAGUUUUGAUAAUGUUCAAAUCAAGUCAGGAUAUAUCAAGAUUCACGAAGAUCCUUUGAAGAUUUAUUUUUGUUAUUAAAAGUUUUUGUAAUAAUUAUAGUUUAAAUGUUUAGGACUUAGAUUUGUAGUAGGUUUUGAUUCUUGUACCUUCAUACUUUAUAUUUGUUAUUCAGAAUCAUAAACGCACGGUGAUAACUCUCCAACUUUACAUAUUUUUUUGUGUUUAGAGAGUCUUUCUUAACUUCUAUUUGCUCUUAAUUGUAUAGAGUUAGCUUAGUUUUAGAAUUUUUCUUUAAAAUUGUAGUUUUAUAAAAUUUUAGUUAAAAAUAGGUUUUUAGGAGUAUUUUUUGAUAUUUGUAAAUAAUUAGGUAUUUAAUUUUUUAGAAAAUCUUUUAAUAAAAAUUGUUUUUAAUUGUUUUCUUUAUUUUUGAAUUGCUGAAAUAUGUUUUUAAUUGUUGAUGAGCCUUAAUUCAAUUUUUUUUCUUUACUGCAGGAUAGGCCUUUAAUAAUUGGGUUGAUUUCAAGAUUGGGCCAAUGCAUGGAGUUAAGUAGCUGCUGCUCUGAAGAAAAAGAAAUGUUGUUACCACACAUUUGGGGAAUUAAGCCUGCGUUGCUGUGCGUUUUGGAGGCUGGUUGAUUUAGUGAGAAGCAGAUUGGGUUUAUUGAAAGAAACUUGGGCCGCUGCUGGACUGCUACACUGAACAUCUACUACACUUAAACAAUUCAUUGGUGCUGAUCUGAAGAAAAUGGAAUUGGGUUGGCAGGUUAUUGAUUGCACAACGGGCCUAAGUAGAACGACACCGUUUUGGUGAAGAGACUGAAUUUGCUGUUGCAGGGGUCUUUGAACCUCAUCUUCAUUCACACAAGCUCUCGAGAAAUUCAUUGGAGGAAAAGAGAGAAAACCCAAAGCUAGGGCUUAGUUCAUGAGAGAACGAGAGAAGCAACAGUUGGAGGCACGUGACCAAAGUAGCUACCCGGAGAAGAUGGCUGGUGAGAAAGAAGAUGCUGACCGGAAAUGCCACGUGGAGGGCAAAGAUUGAAGCGUGUGAGAGAAGCAAGGUUCCCUUUUUAGUUUUAUUUUCUUUCAUCUUUUUCUGACCCUAUAUAAAAAGGGGCUUUUGUAUUAUAAAGAGAUUUUUUUACACAGACUCUUAGACACUUUUCACAUUCUUUGACAGUUUACAUUUUUUAGUUUUUAGUUUCUGAAGAGUAGUUUGAGUGAUCGAGAGCUUAGGGUUUGAGUUUACGCUUUCCAUAAGAGUAGAUUCUCGUUUCUCUUGCGUUUGACCGAACAUUCACGGUAAGUGACAACCGUGAUGAUCGCAAUUGCUUCGGUAAUCUCUCUUGUAAACUUCAUUCUUAUCAAUAAACUCUCGGUUACUUUAAUUUUCUCGGUGUUAAUUGCUUUACUAUUCUGUUAUGAUGAUUGCUUUUCGUUCUUGUGUUCUUAUGUGAUUGUGUUCUUGUGUUGUUUUUAAAGGAAAAUUGAUUUGAACUCAUAAAUCUGCAUAUUGAAAUUCCUUUCUGGAAUUAUAUGACCCCGAGGUGGGCGUAAGUGAACGAGAUGUCUUCCUGAGCCAGAUAAGAGUUCAAUCAAUGAAAAAAAUAUUUAAAUUCAUGUUCUUUUAGUUUCUGUGAGUUGUUGUUUGUAGAUUUGGAAUUGAAUUUGUUUUGAUUUGGUAAAUCAAUUGAUU
rnacentral:lncRNA from 1 species